CGGGGCGUGGCGCAGCCUGGUUAGCGCGCAUGGCUGGGGGCCAUGAGGUCGCGAGUUCGAAUCUCGCCGCCCCGA
rnacentral:tRNA from 1 species